AGGUUAAGAGGAUGCGUCAGUCGCAAGAUGAAGCGUUGAAUUGAAGCCCGAGUAAACGGCGGCCGUAACUAUAACGGUCCUAAGGUAGCGAAAUUCCUUGUCGGUUAAAUACCGACCUGCAUGAAUGGCGUAACGAGAUGGGAGCUGUCUCAACCAGAGAUUCAGUGAAAUUGUAGUGGAGGUGAAAAUUCCUCCUACCCGCGGCAAGACGGAAAGACCCCGUGGACCUUUACUACAACUUAGCACUGCUAAUGGGAAUAUCAUGCG
rnacentral:rRNA from 1 species